AUUGAACGCUGGCGGCAGGCUUAACACAUGCAAGUCGAGCGAGCGGCGGACGGGUGAGUAAUGUCUGGGCCACUGCCUGAUGGAGGGGGAUAACUACUGGAAACGGUAGCUAAUACCGCAUACCAUCAGAUGUGCCCAGAUGGGAUUAGCUAGUAGGUGGGGUAAUGGCUCACCUAGGCGACGAUCCCUAGCUGGUCUGAGAGGACGACCGGCCACACUGGAACUGAGACACGGACCAGACUCCUACGGUAGGCAGCAGUGGGGAAGAUUGCACAACGGGCGCAAGCCUGAUGCAGCCAUGCCGCGGGGGUGAAGAAGGCCUUCGGGUUGUAAAGCACUUUCAGCGAGGAGGCGUUACUCGCAGAAGAAGCACCGGCUAACUCCGUGCCAGCCGCCGCGGUAAUAC
rnacentral:rRNA from 1 species